CUAAAACUCUGGUGUAAUAUGAUUCUACAAGUGAACAAAGAAAACCUGGAGUCUAAAACCAAAUCUGGAUUCACAAGCUGUGAAAGCCGCACUUAUGUCAAACAUAGUAAUGUUUUGAUACAUCAGAAAACUAAGCUGGAGUUGUGUUCUUAUAAAUGUUUUGCCAUUUCUAUAAUUUCAAUAAGCACUUUUGACUCUCUCCAAGGGUUCAUGUAAGAACA